rnacentral:rRNA from 1 species
GAUGAACGCUGGCGGCGUGCCUAAUACAUGCAAGUCGAGCGAACAGACGAGGAGCUUGCUCCUCUGACAUUAGCGGCGGACGGGUGAGUAACACGUGGAUAACCUACCUAUAAGACUGGGAUAACUUCGGGAAACCGGAGCUAAUACCGGAUAAUAUAUUGAACCGCAUGGUUCAAUAGUGAAAGACGGUUUUGCUGCCACUUAUAGAUGGAUCCGCGCCGCAUUAGCUAGUUGGUAAGGUAACGGCUUACCAAGGCAACGAUGCGUAGCCGACCUGAGAGGGUGAUCGGCCACACUGGAACUGAGACACGGUCCAGACUCCUACGGGAGGCAGCAGUAGGGAAUCUUCCGCAAUGGGCGAAAGCCUGACGGAGCAACGCCGCGUGAGUGAUGAAGGUCUUCGGAUCGUAAAACUCUGUUAUUAGGGAAGAACAAAUGUGUAAGUAACUAUGCACGUCUUGACGGUACCUAAUCAGAAAGCCACGGCUAACUACGUG